UUUCCGUAGGUGAACCUGCGGAAGGAUCAUUACAGAGUUCAUGCCCUCACGGGUAGAUCUCCCACCCUUGAAUAUUUAUACCUUAGUUGCUUUGGCAGGCCGUGGAAACACCAUGGGCUCCGGCUUAUGCGUGCCUGCCAGAGGAAACAAACUCUGUUUUUAGUGAUGUCUGAGUACUAUAUAAUAUUUAAAACUUUCAACAACGGAUCUCUUGGUUCUG
rnacentral:misc_RNA from 1 species